AGCGAACGCUGGCGGUAGGCCUAACACAUGCAAGUCGAACGGCAGCACAGAGGAGCUUGCUCCUUGGGUGGCGAGUGGCGGACGGGUGAGGAAUACAUCGGAAUCUACUCUGUCGUGGGGGAUAACGUAGGGAAACUUACGCUAAUACCGCAUACGACCUACGGGUGAAAGCAGGGGACCUUCGGGCCUUGCGCGAUUGAAUGAGCCGAUGUCGGAUUAGCUAGUUGGCGGGGUAAAGGCCCACCAAGGCGACGAUCCGUAGCUGGUCUGAGAGGAUGAUCAGCCCCACUGGGACUUAGUCACGGUCCAGACUCCUACGGGAGGCAGCAGUGGGGAAUAUUGGACAAUGGGCGCAAGCCUGAUCCAGCCAUACCGCGUGGGUGAAGAAGGCCUUCGGGUUGUAAAGCCCUUUUGUUGGGAAAGAAAUCCAGCUGGUUAAUACCCGGUUGGGAUGACGGUACCCAAAGAAUAAGCACCGGCUAACUUCGUGCCAGCCGCCGCGGUAA
rnacentral:rRNA from 1 species